GAAACAAGUAAAAGAGAGUAAAAGAGUAUCCCUGAGGAAAUAUUACCGUACUUGGAAACAAGUGAGGGUUGGCAACAGGAAAGGCAUCUGAAUGUAGAAAAUUUGGCUAGUUUGGGAACUUUGUGUUGAAAAGCCAUACAUAGUUCCUCUAAAAUAUAUAGUUUUGUACUGAUGUUAAAAUCAUCAUUAUUAGAAGCCUUCUCAUAGCUCUAUAAUUUCUAACCCAAAGCACAUCCUAGGCUUUUUUUUCUUGCUUUAAGAAACUAAUCUGUAACAUAACAACACUUAUAUAAUAAUGUUCCUAGUAAGCAGCCAAUGCUCACACUUGCAGUUACUACAUCACAGCAUGACACUAAAUUCAUUUAGUCUCUGCUGUGUAAAGUCUACUUUGCUUGUUUUUCCUGCCAGUUUCCAGUCUCAUGGUAGCUUAUUCUGUCUUUUCUAACUGCACUGCUUACUUUAUUUCUCUUUCCUUUCGUUUGUCGCAUCUUUUGUCAAAAAAAAAAAAAAAGAAAAUGCAAGUCCUGUUAACUAAAGUGCAGUAGUGGUAUUUGUAGUAGAGUUGUAGAAGUAUUUUGUAUUUGGAGUGGUGUUGUAUUAGUGAUGAGAAAUAUAGUAGCAUUAGUACUUGUAGAAAUAUCGAUGUAUUUCUAAUUUUUCUUCAAUAUUGAUAUGUUAAUUAUAGACACAAGAAAAUUAAAAUUGAUAACAGAUGUAAAAAUAACUGGCAGUUGUUAGAGCAGACAUGGGCAACCUUUGUUGUGAAGUAGCUUGCAUGAAACAUAGAUGACUACUAAAAUAAUUUGAGGUAAUGAUGCGCCGUUGAGGAAAUCCUACAGGCUGCAGGUUGCCCAUGACUGUGUUUGAAUGUUGGAUGAAAUGCCUUUCAGUAUUUGUUGUGAUUUUCUGCACUCUGAGUUCAAUUCAUACCAAGGUCAGCUUUGUUUUUUCAUCCUUUUGAGUUUGACAAAAAAAAAACUUCCAAUCUGGAAUUAUGAAUUGGUGGAACUUUUAGAAUGUUAGACCAAAUGCUUUGAGGUAUUUGUUCUGGUGUUUUAUGUUCUGAAUUCAAAUCCUUCCAUGGCCUGCUUGGAUAGUAGACUCAAUCUGUUUCCUGGUUUAAUGCCACCACUUGGCUUGUUCUUUGAUUUCUUCCUCUCACCAAUCUCAGAAGCCCUGUAAAAGGCCAUGGACACUACCUUCCCUCCUAAUUAUAAACCCCACCCAAAAAGGGAUUUU